UACGAACUGUGCAAACGUUAUUCGGAAUCACUGGGCUUAAAGGGUGCGUAGGCGGCUAUUUAAGUAGGGUGUGAAAGCCCCCGGCUCAACCGGGGAAUUGCGUCCUAAACUGGAUAGCUCGAGUGAGAUAGAGGUGUGUGGAACUUCCGGUGGAGCGGUGAAAUGUGUUGAUAUCGGAAGGAACGCCGGUGGCGAAAGCGGCAUACUGGUCCACUUCUGACGCUGAGGCGCGAAAGCCAGGGGAGCAAACGGG
rnacentral:rRNA from 1 species